rnacentral:rRNA from 1 species
GCGAAGAAACUUACAACAAAGAGUCCCUCCCGACUGUUUACCAAAAACACAGCACUCUGCUAACUCGUAAGAGGAUGUAUAGGGUGUGACGCCUGCCCGGUGCUCGAAGGUUAAUUGAUGGGGUUAGCAUUAGCGAAGCUCUUGAUCGAAGCCCGAGUAAACGGCGGCCGUAACUAUAACGGUCCUAAGGUAGCGAAAUUCCUUGUCGGUUAAAUACCGACCUGCAUGAAUGGCGUAACGAGAUGGGAGCUGUCUCAAAGAGGGAUCCAGUGAAAUUGUAGUGGAGGUGAAAAUUCC